AAUAUACUCCCUCCGUUCCAAAAUAGAUGACUCAACUUUGUACUAAUGUUAGUACAAAGUUGAGUCAUCUAUUUUGGAACGGAGGGAGUACUUC
rfam:Triticum aestivum genome assembly, contig: Triticum_aestivum_CS42_TGACv1_scaffold_606015_7DL